AGGAGCCUACGGGACGCAGCAGUAGGGAAUCUUCCACAAUGGACGAAAGUCUGAUGGAGCAACGCCGCGUGAGUGAAGAAGGGUUUCGGCUCGUAAAACUCUGUUGGUUGUGAAGAAAGAUAGAGGUAGUAACUGGCCUUUAUUUGACGGGAAUUACUUAGAAAGUCACGGCUAACUACGUGCCAGCAGCCGCGGUAAUACGUAGGUGGCAAGCUUUAUCCGGAUUUAUUUGGCGUAAAGCGAG
rnacentral:rRNA from 1 species